rnacentral:rRNA from 1 species
GACGAACGCUGGCGGCGUGCUUAACACAUGCAAGUCGAACGGAAAGGCCCUGCUUUUGUGGGGUGCUCGAGUGGCGAACGGGUGAGUAACACGUGAGUAACCUGCCCUUUACUUUGGGAUAACUUCAGGAAACUGGGGCUAAUACCGCAUAGGAGCUCCUGCUGCAUGGUGGGGGUUUGAAAGUUUCGGCGGUUGGGGAUGGACUCGCGGCUUCGCAGCUUGUUGGUGGGGUAGUGGCUUACCAAGGCUUUGACGGGUAGCCGGCCUGAGAGGGUGACCGGCCACAUUGGGACUGAGAUACGGCCCAGACUCCUACGGGAGGCAGCAGUGGGGAAUAUUGCAAAAUGGGCGGAAGCCUGAUGCAGCAACGCCGCGUGCGGGAUGACGGCCUUCGGGUUGUAAACCGCUUUCGCCUGUGACGAAGCGUGAGUGACGGUAAUGGGUAAAGAAGCACCGGCUAACUACGUG